CUGUAUAAAAUACAUAUGCCACAUUGCGUGAAAUAUAUGUAUAUAUAUACGUUAACACGUAUACUAUAUAUAUUAACGCACAUGACGGUUCCGUGAUAAUAUUAUGUGUUACACGCUUGUCGUGCAACAUCUCUAUAUUGCGCGGUCCGUUUAAAUAUUGUCUAACGACACACGGUUGAUUAUAACUUUAUAUAUCAUACGACAAUGUUAGAGAUUAUCAUAAUAUUUGUCGAACGAUCGACGGUGUUACCGCUGACGCGCCUCACCGCGCAAGGCGGGACGCUUUCGACUCUACCGAGUUAGAGUGUGAUAUAUGAUAACAAUAUAUCACACACAUACGAGAGGGUUGAUUGCGUGUUCGACACCGUUCACAUGUCGCGAGACGCGUAAAUAUUAUAGAUCUCUAUAAAACAAUUGACGUAUACAAAAUGAUAUAUACGAUUUAAAUCAUCGACAGUAGGCGGACUCGACGUCCGAAGAGCGCAUCGACGCCGUCGUCGUUAUCGAUCGUGUUAUUAUUGUAAAAAAUGUAACGCGUCGUAGCGGUUGCGUCGUCGUAACGCUGACGGAUAUCGCGUCUGCCUCAUUUUUUUAUCGUUGGCCUCAGAUCAGGGAGGAUCACCCGCCGAAUUUAAGCAUAUUAGUAAGCGGAGGAAAAGAAACUAACUAGGAUUUCCUUAGUAGCGGCGAGCGAACAGGAAAGAAGCCCAGCACUGAAUCCCGCCGUUGUUCAGGCGGCGGGAGAUGUGGUGUUCGGGAGGUUCCGCUUUCUCGUCGCGAUCGCUCCUGUCCAAGUUCGUCUUGAACGGGGCCGUUUUCCCGUAGAGGGUGCCAGGCCCGUAGCGACGGAGGAUCGCGGCGAGAGGGACUCUCCUUAGAGUCGGGUUGCUUGAGAGUGCAGCCCUAAGUGGGUGGUAA
rnacentral:sRNA from 1 species